AUAAAACAACAACAAAAACUAGAGGCUCUAAAGAGCCUGUGUCGCUCACCUUGGUAUAUGUGAAUAUUAAACAAAGGACGCAGAUAGAUUCAUGAAAAAUUGUGUUUUGGUGAUGGUGAAGUGUUUGUACAUCUUACUUUACUGAACAUUCUUGCUGCUUACAAUUAUCUUUAUCUAUAAUGAACUUGGCCAAGUAGUUUCAGUGGAAAAUGUUAGUAAAAAUUUACAAAUUUUAUGAAAAUUUUAAAAAAUUGACUAUAAAGGACAAUAACUCCUUAGGGGUCAAAUUGACCAUUUUCAGUCACGUUGACUUAUUUGUAAAUCUUACUUUUCUGAACAUUAUUGCUGUUUACAGAUUAUCUCUAUCUAUAAUAGUAUUCAAGAUAAUAACAAAAAAACAGCAAAAUUUCCUUAAAAUUACCAAUUCAGGGGCAGCAACCUAACAACCAGUUGUCCAAUUCAUCUGAAAAUUUUAGAGCAGAUAGAUCUGGACUUGAUAAACAAUUUUUUCCACUGUCAGAUUUGCUCUAAAUGCUUUGGUUUUUAAGUUAUAAGCCC
rnacentral:lncRNA from 1 species